rnacentral:rRNA from 1 species
UACGGGGGGAGCAAGCGUUGUUCGGAUUUAUUGGGCGUAAAGAGCGUGUAGGCGGCCAGGUAGGUCUGCUGUGAAAACUCGAGGCUCAACCUCGAGACGUCGGCGGAAACCAUCUGGCUAGAGUCCGGAAGAGGAGAGUGGAAUUCCUGGUGUAGCGGUGAAAUGCGCAGAUAUCAGGAAGAACACCCGUGGCGAAGGCGGCAUCCUGGACCGGCAUUGACGCUGAGGCGCGAAAGCCAGGGGAGCAAACGGG